CAGGUGUCAGCCUGGACACUCUCCAAGUGCCUCCUCAGGGGGAUUGAGGGGCCUUCUUGUUUGGGAACAGUGAUCUUUUGUUAACACACACACAGAAAGUCAGUUACUCCUCACAGAGUCUGCUGAGGCAGGGCAAGCCCUACAUACAAAUGCUCAGGUGGUGGGGAGAGAGAGAGGAAGAUGGCUUGCAAACACGUGAGCGGUGAUGAGAGCAAACUCAGGAAACCGUAUAGCCUCCAUGCUGAGAUGUGCAUGUGUUCCCAUGGGGUCCACUGACUGAGGGAGACCAUGGCACUGGGAUGAAAGAAGAAUUGCACGGAGAUUCGAGCUCACACAGAUAUGUUAACCAACCUGGAUUUAAAUUCAAAAUCCGUAUGCAGGUCAAGAAGCAACAGUUAGAACAGGACAUGGAACAAAGGACUGGUUCAAAAUUGGGAAAGAAGUAUAUCAAAGCUGUAUAUUGUCACUCUGCUUAUUUAACUUAUAUGCAGAGUACAUCAUAUGAAAUGCCAGGCUGGAUAAAGCACAAGCUGGAAUCAAGAUUGCCAGGAGAAAUAUCAAUAACUUCAGAUAUACAGAUGACAUCACCCUUAUGGCAGGAAGCAAAGAAGAAGUAAAGAGCCUUCUGAUGAAGAUGAAAGAGGAGAGUGAAAAGGCUGCCUUAAAAUUCAACAUUCAGAAAAAGAUCAUGGCAUCCAGUCCCAUCACUUUAUAACAAAUAGAUGGCACUGCAGAUGGUGACUGCAGCCAUGAACUUAAGAUUCUUACUCCUUGGAAGAAAAGCUAUGACCAAGCUAGACAGCAUAUUAAAAAGCAGAGACAUUACUUUGCUUAAAAAGGUCCAUCUAGUUAGAGCCUGGAGAAUCCCAAGGACAGAGGAGCCUGUUGGGCUGCCGUCUAUGGGGUCGCACAGAGUCAGACACAACUGCCGCAACUUAGCAGCAGCAGCAGCAGCAGCAGCAGUUAAAGCUAUGGUUUUUCCAGGAGUCAUGUAUGACUGUGAGAACUGGACCAUAAGGGAGGCUGAGCACUAAAGAAUUGAUGCUUUUGAACUGUGGUGCUGGAGAAGACUCUUUAGAGUCCCUUGGACUGCAAGGAGAUCCAACCAGUCCAUCCUAAAGGAAAUCAGUCCUGAAUAUUCAUUGGAAGGACUGAUGCUGAAGCUGAAGCUCCAGUACUUUGGCCACCUGAUGCAAAGAGCCGACUCCUUAGAAAAGACCCUGAUACUGGGAAAGAUUGAAGGCAGGAGGAGAAGGAAAUGAUAGAGGACAAGAUAGUUGGGUGACAUCACCAACUCAAUAAACAUGAGUUUGAACAAGCUCCA
rnacentral:lncRNA from 1 species